UUGAACGCUGGCGGCAUGCUUUACACAUGCAAGUCGAACGGUAACAGGGAGCUUGCUCCGCUGACGAGUGGCGAACGGGUGAGUAAUGCAUCGGAACGUAUCCAGUCGUGGGGGAUAACGUAGCGAAAGUUACGCUAAUACCGCAUACGUCCUGAGGGAGAAAGCGGGGGACCGUAAGGCCUCGCGCGAUUGGAGCGGCCGAUGUCGGAUUAGCUAGUUGGUGGGGUAAAGGCCUACCAAGGCGACGAUCCGUAGCGGGUCUGAGAGUAUGAUCCGCCACACUGGGACUGAGACACGGCCCAGACUCCUACGGGAGGCAGCAGUGGGGAAUUUUGGACAAUGGGGGCAACCCUGAUCCAGCCAUGCCGCGUGAGUGAAGAAGGCCUUCGGGUUGUAAAGCUCUUUCGGCCGGGAAGAAAUCGCAUCUCCUAAUACGGGGUGUGGAUGACGGUACCGGAAGAAGAAGCACCGGCUAACUACGU
rnacentral:rRNA from 1 species